GACGAACGCUGGCGGCGUGCCUAAUACAUGCAAGUCGAACGAGUGGCGGACGGGUGAGUAAUACAUGGGUAACUGCCCGAUGGGGGGGGAUAACGACUGGAAACGUAAGCUAAUACCGCAUAUCAUCUGAUGUGCCCUGAUGGGAUUAGCUAGUAGGUGGGGUAACGGCUCACCUAGGCGACGAUCCCUAGCGGAUCUGAGAGGAUGACCAGCCACACUGGAACUGAGACACGGCCCAGACUCCUACGGGAGGCAGCAGUGGGGAAUAUUGCACAAUGGGCGAAAGUCUGACGCAGCCAUGCCGCGUGUAUGAAGAAGGCAUUCGGUUUGGAAAGCACUUUUAGUGAGGAGGCGGUACUCUCCGAAGAAGCACCGGCUAACUCCGUGCCAGCAGCCGCGGUAAUUC
rnacentral:rRNA from 1 species